rnacentral:sRNA from 1 species
CUUAUUCUUGACCUUCAUGUGGAUUGUAUCUUAGGUUAUUCAAGAUUUUGGACUAAUACCAACUUAUGAUUUUUUGCAAGAUGCUUAAGCUGUGAUAUUCAGCUUCUCGUCUGAACAUAAAAUAAUGCAACCUUAUACAGAUUCUGCUCCACACAUCUUCCCGUUCUUCUCUGAGAAAGGUGAACCCCCACUUGAUAGUAUCCAGCUGAUUCCAACUUAUAGUGAAAUAAGUAGAACAAAUCCCAGUGUUAUACUUUCAAUGAUUUUUUAAAGAAGAAUUUGUCAUCAACACAAAUUGUGAAAUUCAACAGAUUCAAGGGCCACUGUCAUCAAGACUGCCACCCCAUCAUAUUCAUUAUUAACAAGAACCAACUGAUGUGCUCUGUAUUCUAUCCUGCAUCAUAAUCUUGGGUAACUACAUGCUAAAAUUCAUCUUGAAUAUGUUUAAAUCAUCCCCACUGAAAAUCAUGCAUGUGUUGUAUUUGUUUUAUAUUUUUUAAGCAGACAAUAAUUUAAGGGAAUAAAAAUCGACAGACUUGAGAGAUGGUUUGGGAAAGACUAUGAAAUUAAAUCAUGAGUGUCUGAGUUCAGAUGACUUCAUCCAUGCAGAUAGCCAGCCAUAUUGAU